GGUGAGUUGUCCGAGAGGCUUAUGGUGCGAUCUUGGAAAGAUCGUGUGUGAGAUUGUAUCAAGCACCAGAGGUUCAAAUCCUCUACUCACCG
rnacentral:tRNA from 1 species